AUGUUUUUAACUGGAGUGCUGCAUGGGAUUGUACCGUGCUACUGUACUUUAUCCGAUCGUCAUAUGAACACUCCAGUUAUUUGUCCUGUGUGCCGUACUGAUCCAGAGGAUCUUCGGCAUAUGUUAUUCUUUUGUGACAGAGCAAAAUCAGUGUGGAAGGAACUGGGUUUGAGUGAAACUAUUGAAGCUGCAGCGACCGAUGAGCGUUCUGGUUCAGUCAUUUUGGAACGUCUGUUGUGUGCUGAAAUCUCUGGAGGCAACAUCCCAAUUGCUAAUGGAAUUGAGAUGAUUAUGGUGGCUGGAUGGUACUUAUGGUGGGAUCGCCGGAAAAUUUCUCACAAGGAAACCUGCGGUUCAGCAGCUCGAUCAGCCAUGAGCAUUAGAGGUAUAGUAGCUAAUACCCUGACUACCAAACUGAAGGUACUAACGCGAUCUAUGAGAUGGGUCAGAUCGGCUGCCGGAGUAAUUAAACUAAAUGUGGAUGCUUAG
rnacentral:rRNA from 1 species